UACGUAGGGGCUAGCGUUGUCCGGAUUUAUUGGGCGUAAAGAGCGUGUAGGCGGCCAGGUAGGUCUGCUGUGAAAACUCGAGGCUCAACCUCGAGACGUCGGCGGAAACCAUCUGGCUAGAGUCCGGAAGAGGAGAGUGGAAUUCCUGGUGUAGCGGUGAAAUGCGCAGAUAUCAGGAAGAACACCCGUGGCGAAGGCGGCUCUCUGGGACGGUACUGACGCUGAGAGCGAAGCUAGGGGAGCGAACGGG
rnacentral:rRNA from 1 species